UUUAAUACAGAGGGAAGAUUUGA
rnacentral:siRNA from 1 species